AAUCCCUUGGUCCCUCCCUUUUUGGAAGGAGGAGGCAUUUUGUGUCACAGCAGGGGCAGACUGUGGCUCCCUGUUUGGCAAAUCCAGGAGUUUCACAGCGGAGCUGUCGAAGGAAAAGGGAAAACUGGUGAACCACAUAAUUAGUUUUUGAUUCAGUGAUUAAUAUCACUUGCAAACAGGAUUGCUCUCCAGGGGCACACGGAAAUAUCUUCCCAUGGCUGUUUUGGGUGUGCACGGGCAGGCUGUGCCGCUCGGGGACUGCAGGUGCUGAUAAGGGACUUGCCAGCCUGGAGCCAUCAGGUGUGCGUGACAUUAUUGGCACUGCAGACAAGCCCUUGCUGUUUUAUAAAUAAAGGAAAAUAUCCAGUGCCAUGGUUAAUUAGGAAUUCUGGUAAUGCGCAAAUCAGCCUUUUUCCACUGGAAAGGGACCUGGGGAGGACCAAAACCCCAGUGCCCUGCAUGGAUAAACCCUGUGCUGCUCUGAGAGAGCCAAGACCUGUUCCUGUGAGCACAAAAAACACAUUUA